CCUACGGGAGGCAGCAGUGAGGAAUAUUGGUCAAUGGGCGCGAGCCUGAACCAGCCAAGUCGCGUGAGGGAUGACGGCCCUACGGGUUGUAAACCUCUUUUGCCGGGGAGCAACGGGCGCCACGUGUGGCGCCACUGAGAGUACCCGGAGAAAAAGCAUCGGCUAACUCCGUGCCAGCAGCCGCGGUAAUACGGAGGAUGCGAGCGUUAUCCGGAUUUAUUGGGUUUAAAGGGUGCGUAGGCGGCCUUUUAAGUCAGCGGUGAAAUCGCGGGGUUCAACCUCGCUCCGCCGUUGAAACUGGCGUU
rnacentral:rRNA from 1 species